rnacentral:rRNA from 1 species
AAGCUGGCGGCGUGCUUACCAUGCAAGUCGAACGGAGUUUAGAUGAAAGCUUGCUUUUGACUAAACUUGGUGGCGGACGGGUGAGUAACGCGUGGGUAACCUGCCUUAUACAGGGGGGUAACAGUCGGAAACGACUGCUAAUACCGCAUAAGCGCACGGAAUCGCAUGAUUCAGUGUGAAAAGAUUUAUCGGCAUAAGAUGGACCCGCGUCUGAUUAGCUAGUUGGUGAGGUAACGGCCCACCAAGGCGACGAUCAGUAGCCAGCCUGAGAGGGUGAACGGCCACAUUGGGACUGAGACACGGCCCAAACUCCUACGGGAGGCAGCAGUGGGGAAUAUUGCACAAUGGGGGAAACCCUGAUGCAGCGACGCCGCGUGAGUGAAGAAGUAUUUCGGUAUGUAAAGCUCUAUCAGCAGGGAAGAAAAUGACGGUACCUGACUAAGAAGCCCCGGCUAACUACGUGCCAGCAGCCGCGGUAAU